CCCUCAAACAACUAUAUUCAAUAAGAACAAAAUUUAAUACAGUACUAUAUUACUCCCUGCCACCAACACGUAUCAUAUCUCUCAACUCUAUCUCUGUUUCAGCAAAAACUCAGAUUCUCUCUGUAACUCACCACUCACAACAAGCUCAUUCUCAUAUUCUCGUUCAAGCAGAACCUAAAUCCUGAUUCCUAUCUCCAAUUUUAAGUAUCAAAACAAAGCUACAGAUCCCAAAUCAAUGCACAAUCUCAUCCCCCUCUCUCACUAAUCACUAUUGUCGUUUCCGUUCGUCACUCCCGCCGCUGCCGUCCAGCCUCUCCGUCGCCGAGCAGCGCCAGAUAAGUCCCAUCCCUUUUUCUCAUUCUAAACUUUUACAUUAAUUUUUCUCAUUUGUUCAAUUCAAAAAAUUAUUGGGCAGGCAAGAAAUUUUCAGAAUUUGACAUCGAAGAGAAACAAAAGGCAGCUUCUAAAGCUUUAAAGAUCGAACCUUUCAAAAGGAGUAUCAUUCAACAAAGACUUUCAAAAAUUGUGGAUAUACCUUCCCGAAGAAGCAAAAUUUGCAGAAGAGAAGGCUGCUCGAUUUUGUUCUUCCUUUCAACUGUGACAAGGCAUAAAUGGUGCUAUGGAUUUAAUAUCCAGAAAGUUGUAAACACUGGAUUGAAGGGAAAGAUUAUACCUUUGGAAAGAAGCAGAACUUGUAGCAAUCGGGAGGAAUUGAGAUCACAGCACUCUCGAUUUCAAGCUUUUUGAUGGGAGGAAGAAUAUAGCUGCAGAUACAAAAUGAAGCUGCGUUGUGGAGAAAUUUAUAAGGAGAAGAAUGGAUUUUGGUUGGAGAUUUUCAAGGGAGGUGGAGAUAUGGAAGAAACCGUUGGGUGAUGGAAUUGGGAGAAAUAUUUUGACCAAAAAUUUGACUGCGGAGUAGAAUAAUUAAUUAAUAUUCUACUACUACGGAGUAGA